UACGUAGGGUGCGAGCGUUGUCCGGAAUUAUUGGGCGUAAAGAGCUUGUAGUCGGUUUGUCGCGUCUGCUGUGAAAAUCCGGGGCUCAACCCCGGACUUGCAGUGGGUACGGGCAGACUAGAGUGUGGUAGGGGAGACUGGAAUUCCUGGUGUAGCGGUGAAAUGCGCAGAUAUCAGGAGGAACACCGAUGGCGAAGGCAGGUCUCUGGGCCACUACUGACGCUGAGAAGCGAAAGCAUGGGGAGCGAACAGG
rnacentral:rRNA from 1 species